rnacentral:hammerhead_ribozyme from 1 species
UGAUGAGUCCCAAAUGGGACGAAACGCGCGUC